rnacentral:rRNA from 1 species
UACGUAGGUGGCAAGCGUUGUCCGGAUUUAUUGGGCGUAAAGCGAGCGCAGGCGGAAUGAUAAGUCUGUCUUAAAAGUGCGGGGCUCAACCCCGUGAUGGGACGGAAACUGGCAGGCUGGAGUGUCGGAGAGGAAAGCAGAAUUCCUAGUGUAGCGGUGAAAUGCGUAGAUAUUAGGAGGAAUACCAGUGGCGAAAGCGGCUUUCUGGACGACAACUGACGCUGAGGCGCGAAAGCCAGGGGAGCAAACGGG